rnacentral:rRNA from 1 species
GAUGAACGCUGGCGGCGUGCCUAAUACAUGCAAGUCGAGCGAACAGACGAGGAGCUUGCUCCUCUGACGUUAGCGGCGGACGGGUGAGUAACACGUGUAUAACCUACCUAUAGGACUGGGAUAACUUCGGGAAACCGGAGCUAAUACCGGAUAAUAUAUUGAACCGCAUGGUUCAAUAGUGAAAUACGGUUUUGCUGUCACUUAUAGAUGGAUCUGCGCCGCAUUAGCUAGUUGGUAAGGUAACGGCUUACCAAGGCAACGAUGCGUAGCCGACAUGAGAGGGUGAUCGGCCACACUGGAACUGAGACACGGUCCAGACUCCUACGGGAGGCAGCAGUAGGGAAUCUGCCGCAAUGGGCGAAAGCUUGACGGAGCAACGCCGCGUGAGUGAUGAAGGUCUUCGGAUCGUAAAACUCUGUUAUUAGGGAAGAACAAAUGUGUAAGUAACUAUGCACGUCUUGACGGUACCUAAUCAGAAAGCCACGGCUAACUACGUG